UACGUAGGGUGCGAGCGUUGUCCGGAAUUAUUGGGCGUAAAGAGCUCGUAGGCGGUGUGUCGCGUCGGCCGUGAAAACCUGCAGCUUAACUGUGGGCUUGCGGUCGAUACGGGCAUCACUGGAGUUCGGCAGGGGAGACUGGAAUUCCUGGUGUAGCGGUGAAAUGCGCAGAUAUCAGGAGGGAACACCCGGUGGGCGAAAGGCGGGGUCUCUGGGGCCCGAUACUGA
rnacentral:rRNA from 1 species